GGGCGCGUAGGUCAUGGGGAGAGCGUCGCCCUUACAAGGCGAAUGUCGGCGGUACCGAACCGUCGCGUCCACCA
rnacentral:tRNA from 1 species